CCUACGGGAGGCAGCAGUGGGGAAUCUUGCGCAAUGGGCGAAAGCCUGACGCAGCCAUGCCGCGUGAAUGAUGAAGGUCUUAGGAUUGUAAAAUUCUUUCACCGGGGACGAUAAUGACGGUACCCGGAGAAGAAGCCCCGGCUAACUUCGUGCCAGCAGCCGCGGUAAUACGAAGGGGGCUAGCGUUGCUCGGAAUUACUGGGCGUAAAGGGAGCGUAGGCGGAUAGUUUAGUCAGAGGUGAAAGCCCAGGGCUCAACCUUGGAAUUGCCUUUGAUACUGGCUAUCUUGAGUACGGAAGAGGUAUGUGGAACUCCGAGUGUAGAGGUGAAAUUCGUAGAUAUUCGGAAGAACACCAGUGGCGAAGGCGACAUACUGGUCCGUUACUGACGCUGAGGCUCGAAAGCGUGGGGAGCAAACAGGAUUAGAUACCCUGGUAGUCCACGCUGUAAACGAUGAGUGCUAGUUGUCGGCAGGCAUGCGUGUCGGUGACGCAGCUACGACAUAAGACACUCCGCCGUGGGAGGUACGGUCGCGAGAUAAACUACAAAGAAGUAGACGGCGUGAGACGUCGCCGACGGACGACGACGAGGGAGUUAGG
rnacentral:rRNA from 1 species